UGCAAUUUUAUUAGAGAUUCUCAACUCAAGAUGUCUUUCAGGAAAAGUAGUAAUAAAUUGGCCCUAAAUGUUUAUUCCUUUUGUUAAUUGCUGCUGUCUAUCAUGUGUUGUCAUACUUCGUCCAUGACUUGGCCAAAAGGUGGAUGAUUAUAAUUAUGAGGUGGUUAGUAAGAUAUUAAUACAUAAUAUACUACUCAAAAAGGUUAAGUUGUUAGGCAGUGUAAAUCAAAUCCUUAAAUUCAUCAACAAUCAUUCUAUUAAAUAACCAUCUCCAAAGAAGAAAGUUAAGGAAAAGAAACAACUUUUGACAGAAAAGGGAUGGGGCGGUUGGGAACCUGUUGAAGGGAAAGGUUAAGAGUCAUUGCCAAAAGAACAUUUCAAUCAAAGUGUACCCUCUAGCUUGAGACCGGCCUUGGCACAAUGGUAAGGUUACUCCAUUGCGACUAAGGGUUCAUGGGUUCGUAACCUUUGAUGAUAGCUUUGUUGUUUCUUCAACUUACGAUGGUUGUGUUUGGUGAAUUUUCUCAUUAUUUUUUAGCCCUCCUUGUUUAUGUUCUACUUGUAUAGUCCUAAUAGUUAGUUGUUUCACCUUAACUUUUUAAUACAAUUCCUAAAGCAUGUGUUUUCAAAUUGUAAUAUAUGUUGCAAAUAAGUGGAAACCAAAAGAUAGGUUGAAAAGAUGGACAAGAGUUGGAUGAUGAUAAAAGACCUCAAUUCCAUUGUUGAGUAUUUUUAUUUAUUUGGUGUCUAUUCGUACGUUAAUCUUUGCUUGAUUUGUAGGGUUCAAAAGAUGGAUAAAAGUUGGAUGAUGAUAAAAGUAAAGAGUAUCAACAAGGUGUUAAGUCAUUUAUUGACUUUGCUACAAAGAAUUUAGGCCCACAAGAUGACAUUCGUUGUCCGUGUGUCGAUUGCUUGAAUGGCACAAAACAUAGUCGAAAAGUUGUAUGGCUGCACUUGAUUCGAAGAGGAAUCACGUGUUCUUAUAGAACUUGGGUGCAUCACGGGGAACGUGUUCUCAUGUGUCAUGAUCAGCCGAGUGGGUCACAGAAGUUGAAGAGGACUAACGAAUGGAUUCAUCCCAAAUGCGGUGAGCCACAUAAUGAGAUGGUGAAUCUACAAGUGGCAUUGGCCCACGACCCUCUUCGCCAUAUGAUAGUGCGGCACGAGCUUGUGACAAACAUAUGGAGGCAAUAAGAGCUGAGAUGGAGGUUCUUCGUGAGGAAUGCGAAAAAUAUCACAAAGAGUUGAUAAAGAAGAAAGAAGAGCGCCAGAGAGAUCGUGAAGAGAUGAUAAAGGAAAGAGAGGAGAUGAUGAAACAAGUAGAAUAAGGAAAAAAAGCAAGGGAGGCGCAACAAGAACAACUUAAUUAUCUAAACAAUGUGGUUUUACGACUCACAACUCUGUUGCAAGGUUCAGAUGGUCAUCGUCCUAUUUGAUGGCUUUUGGCAUGGACUUGUGGAUAGUUUAUAUUUUUGUAUAUGGAGGACACUUGACAAUUUUGUAUAAUUCUGUUAACUGUGUCAUCCUUUGCUUUUGUGUAGAUUAGUUUUACUGAUACAUAUAACUUUUGUAAUCCAAUUGAUUGUUGCUGGCGUGGCAUAUAGAUCACCUUUUGUCGUGAUACAGAUUACGAAGCCAAAUGGUCAUAUCGCAUGGUAGUAAAUAUAUUUUUUGUAUAUGGAGGGUUAGGUUUUUGUAUGGAAACAUAAUUUUAGUUUGGACAAUAGUUGAUUUGUAUGGAAUAUAUACAUUUAAAGUUAUCA